AUUGAACGCUGGCGGCAGGCCUAACACAUGCAAGUCGAGCGGGUGAAGUCUGCUUGCUCCUGGAUUCAUCGGUGGACGGGUGAUUAAUGCCUAGUAAUUUGCCUGGUAGUUGGGGAUAACUUCCUGAUACGGGCGCUAAUUCCUCAUACGUCCUGCGGGUGAAAGUGGUGGAUCUUCGGACCUCACGUUCUCAGAUGAGCCUAGGUCGGAUUAGGUAGUUGGUGGGGUAAGGGCCUACCAAGGCGACGAUCCGUAACUGGUCUGAGAGGAUGAUCAGUCACACUGGAAGUGAGACAGGGUCCAGACUCAUACGGGAGGCAGCAGUGGGGAAUAUUGAUCGAAGGGCGAAAGCAUGAUCCAGCCAUGCAGCGUGUGUGAAGAAGGUAUUCGGAUUGUAAAGCAAUUUAAGUUGGGAGGAAGGAAAGUAAGUUAAGACCUGGCGGGGUUGACGUUACCAACAGAAGAAGCGCCGGCUAACUUCGUG
rnacentral:rRNA from 1 species